AGAGUUUGAUCAUGGCUCCGAAUAAACGCUAGUGAUAUGCUUAACACAUGCAAGUUGAAUGCUUUUUUUUAAUAAUUAAAGCAUAGCGAACGGGUGAGUAGUGUGUAAGAAUUUGCCGAUAAGUUCAGGAUAAGUAUAGCAUUUUAAAUGCGAAUUGCUUUAGGGCAAGUAUAAAUACUGUAUAUAUAAAGGUUAUACGCCGCUUAUUGAUAAGCUUACAUAGUAUUAGGUAGUUGGUGAAGUAAUGGUUUACCAAGCCAAAGAUGCUUAGCUGAUUUUAGUGGAUGUACAGCCACACUGGGACUGAGACACGGCCCAGACUCUUCAAGAGGCAGCAGUGAGGAAUAUUGGACAAUGGACGAAAGUCUGAUCCAGCAAUGUCGCGUGGGGGAUGACGGCUUUUUGGUCUUAAACCUCUUUUUAUAAUAAAAAUUAUGAUUAGUUAUAGAAUAGUCCCGGCUAAUUCUGUGCCAGCAGCCGCGGUAAUACAGAAGGGACAAGUGUUAUUCAUCAUAACUGGGCGUAAAGAGUUUGUAGGCGGAUAAAUAAGUUAAAAUAAAAUUCCAAAGCUUAACUUUGGGCAAAGUUUUAAUACUGUUUAUCUAGAGUUUAAGAGGGGAUAAUAGAAUUUCUACAGUAACGAUAAAAUGUUUAGAUAGUAGAAGGAAUGCCAGAGGCGAAGGCGAUUAUCUGGCUUAAUACUGACGCUGAGAAACGAAAGCUUGGGUAGCAAACAGGAUUAGAGACCCUGGUAGUCCAAAGCUGUAAACGAUGAGUGUUAAGUGUUGGAUUUAUUUUCAGUGCUACAGCUAACGCGUUAAACACUCCGCCUGGGAAGUACGGUCGCAAGAUUAAAACUCAAAGGAAUUGACGGAAGCUCGGACCAGCGGUGGAGCAUGUGGUUUAAUUCGAUAAUACGCGCAAAAUCUUACCAGUUCUUGUAUUUUAAAUAUACAAAUUAUUUUAGUUUAUAAUUUUUUUUAAAACAGGUGUUGCACGGCUGUCGUCAGCUCGUGUCGUGAGAUGUUUUGGUUAACUCCUUUAUAACGAGCGAAACCCUUCUCUUUAGUUAUUAUUAGGUAUUUUGAUUAAUAUCUAAUAACCCUUUAAAGAUACAGCUAAUGAAAAUUAGAGGAAGGAAAGGAUCACGACAAGUCAUCAUGGCCCUUAUGAACUGGGCUACACAUGUGCUACAAUAGCAAUAUACAAUGCGUUGCAAAAAUGUAAAUUUGAGCUAAUCGUUAAAAAUUGUUAAAGUUCGGAUUGUUAGGCUGGAACUCGCCUACAUGAAGAUGGAAUCGCUAGUAAUCGGAAAUCAGCACGUUUCGGUGAAACAAAAUACGAGCUUAGUACAAACCGCCCGUCACAUUAUGAAAGUAAGUUUUAUUUAAAGUUUGGUAACGUUUAUAUUUUUAUAAGUAUAUAAGGUUUUAUUUAAAAACCUUUCUUAUAUAUUUGUUUUUUGUUACCUUAUUAGGAUUAGAUUUGUGAUUGUAAUGAAGUCGUAACAAGGUA
rnacentral:rRNA from 1 species